AUAAUUAAAUUGCUGAAAAAGUGUAAUUUAGAUGAAUUAUUUAGAAAAAAAAACUCCCUGUGUAUUCUGUAUUAAUUUUGGGAAGUUUGGACACACAUUUGCAAUUCACUUUCAAUGUAAUGGUAAUUCUCACUUUAGUUAUUAAACUGAACGUUAAUGUGUUUUCCACUUGAUUGUGCUGAGAUGAGAGCUCCAAGUCUUGUAAAAAUUUAGAGGGAAAAAUUAAACAACUGAUUUGCUGAUCAGAGAAAAAUUAGAAAUGAUAUAUACUGGACCAAGAGCUCCUUUAAGCACCCAGAGCUUUGGUUGCAUAUUCUACAAAAUCAACAAAAAAAGUUCAGUGGUGUAUUCCACACUUUACAGGCAGCCAGUGCAGAGAAUGGAGGAUGGGUGUCACGUGAAAAGAGUGUGUCUGAUCUGUUAGUAAUCUGGCCACAGGACUUUCCACCAUCUGGGAAGAUUGUUUUUCUUUUUCCCCUGAUCAUCAGAAAGAAAUACAUUUUUAAAACAAACAGUAACAAACUGCAGGCAAUACAUGCAUCAGCAGAAAACCUAGAGAGAAAACGAAGAGGAAUGAUCAUAAUAUUGUAGAGAGGAGUUUAUAAACUAUGACUAAGAAGGGGGGAGGUGGAAGAG